rnacentral:rRNA from 1 species
UACGUAGGGGGCGAGCGUUGUCCGGAGUUACUGGGCGUAAAGCGCUUGUAGGCGGUCCACCAAGUUUGGGUGACAGUUGCCGACUUAAUCGGCAAAGUGCCUCAAAGACUGGCGGACUUGAGGGCCACAGAGGGACAUGGAACUCCAGGUGUAGUGGUGAAAUGCGUAGAUAUCUGGAAGAACACCAAAGGCGAAGGCAGUGUCCUGGGUGGUCGCUGACGCUGAGAGGCGAAAGCCAGGGGAGCGAACGGG